GGAAAAGCAGAAACUAUAGCUAAAUGUUUUUAAAAAUUACCCCCCAGAACCACCCAUUCUUUUCUCUCUUUUUACCUUCUUGCAAAAAGGCACCAAACCCAAAUGCCUACUCAAGAAAAAGGUGCACUGCUUCCAGCGGCACUUGCCCGCGUGGCCCUUGACUGGUACCAGGAAGCCGUGGUUCCGGCACCGCGAGCACUUGGGGGUACGAAGCAUCUUGUCGGCCUGCUUGAAUGGUAGAAGUGAGAGCCAAGGCCUGGUGUCCACCUUGAUCUUCCUGAGCCGCUGGUUGCAGGUGUACUUUGCAUUUCUCACCAUCUACCUGACAAUAGGAAAUGGUUGCAAUUCUGAGACUGAUUAUAUACUGGAAAGCUGAAAAGGUGCUUGUAAAGUUUUUUCCUGCUUUGAAGAAAUAUACUACUCAUCUUAAGAGGGCAUAAGUAUAUGUUUCCUGUAUUAUUUGACCCUUUAAGAAUGUCACUGGUUAUUUCAAUCCAUUUAAAGAGAUCUAGGUUUGUCUCUGUUUUGCUCUAACAGCCUGUAUCUUAAUUUUUGAUUAAAAAAAAAAUAUGGUCCCAUAAAUGAAAGCACAGACAAGUUCUUUUUCUGACUUCACUUAAUUCAGAAUAUCUAAUUUUUUCACUGACUUUGUCAUUUGAAUAUGUUACUUAAAAAUCAUAGUUUCAAUACUACUGUCAAAAAACCUGGGCACAAACUGUAUUCUUUCAUGAUACUGCAAAUUAUAAGAUCAUUUUCUGCAUUAUCAAAUUUAAAUUUUAACAUCAGGUGAUAUCAGCUUAUUAAGGCCUAAACAUGAAAACUACUCUCAUUUACAUUUCAUGCUUGACCUCAAGAUCUCUUCAUUUUCCUAUUAAUGAUUUAAAGGAAAAUCCUAUUCAAGGACAACCAUUUGAAUUCAUUUAUUUUAGCCUCUUUAAUGGCAAAAUGCUUCCAUUUUUACUUAUAACUUUGGGGCAAAAUAUACCCAAGGUGAUGUGAAUUUGCAUACUACUUUGAGAAUGUUAAUAAACAACCAUAAAUCUUUUAAAUCUAUAGUCAUAAAUGCAGAAACCCUAGGGUUUAUAUAGUAAACAAAUAAGAAAGAAAGACUAUUUAUCUCUUCCCCUCAAAGUCUCAAUUUGUGUAGGUAAAUUCCAACAGAGCUUUAUUUAUUUCAUUCUUGGAAAUUCAGGCAAAUUGAUAGUUUUGUUUUAUUUGGGUUGAUGGCUGGUUACUUCUUAGGCUGAUGAAUAUAUACAUAUAUAUGUGUAAAUUUUAUUUAAAUUGUUAUUUAAAAAGAUAGUAAUAUGUAAAAUUGAAAAGCUGGAAGUUGAAGAUGGAUGAGAGCAGUAAAUACAUAGUAGACCCCUUCCUUCCCUACACUGAAACAUUUGGAUGUUUAUGUUUAAGAAAGUCUACAUCAUCAUAAGCAGAAGUUUAUAAAAUGACAAAUUACAGUGCUGAGGAAUCACCAGCUUGACUAACCACAAAGGAGCUGGUUGAUAGUCAUAUCUGAGUCCCAGCUUUAGAUACAGCUGCUUCUUCCACAGAGUCCCAAAUUUCCUACCUUCAGUAAUGGCUCUUCUCUUCAGUUAACAUGAUUGUAAUUGAUACUGUUUAAUUUUAAAGAGUCUUGUAUUAUGCUGUGCAUGGGGGUAUCACUUGUAAUCAUUAAAUAUUGUGUGCACUGUA